rnacentral:rRNA from 1 species
UACGAAGGGGGCUAGCGUUGCUCGGAAUCACUGGGCGUAAAGCGCACGUAGGCGGCUUUUUAAGUCAGGGGUGAAAUCCUGGAGCUCAACUCCAGAACUGCCUUUGAUACUGAGAAGCUUGAGUCCGGGAGAGGUGAGUGGAACUGCGAGUGUAGAGGUGAAAUUCGUAGAUAUUCGGAAGAACACCAGUGGCGAAGGCGGCUCACUGGACUGGUAUUGACACUGAGGAGCGAAAGCGUGGGUAGCAAACAGG